rnacentral:precursor_RNA from 1 species
AGUCGAGGCGGCUCUGCACUGGCCAGCUGACCUGGAAGGUCCAGCAGCGCAGCCUCGGCACC